UAUAAUUUAAAGUUGGGCCUGCCCACUGAUUUUUUAAAGGGCCGCAGUAUUUUGACUGUGCAAAGGUAGCAUAAUCAUUAGUUUUUUAAUUGAAAGCUUGUAUGAAUGGUUUGAUGAAAAAAUAACUGUUUCAAUUUUAAUAUUAGAAUUUUAUUUUUAAGUUAAAAAGCUUAAAUUUAAUUUAAAGACGAGAAGACCCUAUAGAGUUUUACUAAAGUUAAGUUUAUAAAUUUUAGGAUUUAAUAUUUUUAAAUUUAACUAAGUUUUGUUGGGGUGAYAGAAAAAUUUAAUUAACUUUUUUUUUAUUUAAACAAAAAUUAUUG
rnacentral:rRNA from 1 species